rnacentral:rRNA from 1 species
AGGGAAUCUUCCACAAUGGACGCAAGUCUGAUGGAGCAACGCCGCGUGAGUGAAGAAGGUCUUCGGAUCGUAAAGCUCUGUUGUUGGUGAAGAAGGAUAGAGGCAGUAACUGGUCUUUAUUUGACGGUAAUCAACCAGAAAGUCACGGCUAACUACGUGCCAGCAGCCGCGGUAAUACGUAGGUGGCAAGCGUUGUCCGGAUUUAUUGGGCGUAAAGCGAGCGCAGGCGGAAUGAUAAGUCUGAUGUGAAAGCCCACGGCUCAACCGUGGAACUGCAUCGGAAACUGUCAUUCUUGAGUGCAGAAGAGGAGAGUGGAACUCCAUGUGUAGCGGUGGAAUGCGUAGAUAUAUGGAAGAACACCAGUGGCGAAGGCGGCUCUCUGGUCUGCAACUGACGCUGAGGCUCGAAAGCAUGGGUAGCGAACAGGAUUAGAUAC